UUGAACGCUGGCGGCAGGCCUAACACAUGCAAGUCGAACGGUAACAGGAAGCAGCUUGCUGCUUCGCUGACGAGUGGCGGACGGGUGAGUAAUGUCUGGGAGACUGCCUGAUGAGGGGGAUAACUACUGGAAACGGUAGCUAAUAACGCAUAACGUCGCAAGACCAAAGAGGGGGACCUUCGGGCCUCUUGCCAUCAGAUGUGCCCAGAUGGGAUUAGCUAGUUGGUGGGGUAACGGCUCACCAAGGCGACGAUCCCUAGCUGGUCUGAGAGGAUGACCCAGCCACACUGGAACUGAGACACGGUCCAGACUCCUACGGGAGGCAGCAGUGGGGAAUAUUGCACAAUGGGCGCAAGCCUGAUGCAGCCAUGCCGCGUGUAUGAAGAAGGCCUUCGGGUUGUAAAGUACUUUCAGCGGGGAGGAAGGUGUUGUGGUUAAUAACCGCAGCAAUUGACGUUACCCGCAGAAGAAGCACCGGCUAACUCCGUGCCAGCCGCCGC
rnacentral:rRNA from 1 species